GACGAACGCUGGCGGCGUGCUUAAUACAUGCAAGUAGAACGCUGAAGCACUAGCUUUCUUCUCUGGUUGAGUUGCGAACGGGUGAGUAACACGUAGGUAACCUGCCUGGUAGUGUGGGAUAACUUUUGGAAACUAUAGCUAAUACCGCAUAACAGUACAUGUUGCAUGGCAUUUGCUUAAAAGUUUCAAUUGCAUCACUACCAGAUGCACCUUCGUUGUAUUAGCUAGUUGGUGAGGUAACGGAUCACCAUGGCGAGGAUACAUACUCGACCGGAGAGGGUGAUAGGCCGCCCUGGGACGGUGACACGCCACAGAGUCAUACAGGAGGGAGCCGUAGGGAAUCUUCAGCAAUCGGCGGAAGUUUUACCGCACUAGGCGGAGUGAGUGAAGAGGGUUUUCGGAUCGUAAAGCUCUGUUGUAAGGGAAGAACGCGUGUGAGAGUGGAAAGAUCACACUGUGACGGUAGCUUACAAGAAAGGGACGGCUAACUACGUG
rnacentral:rRNA from 1 species